CCUAAAUGGACAGGACCCCUGAAGCCAGGGCCAAGACACCCAAAGCAGCCAAGCCGUCCAAAAAAGACUCUAACAAUGAGUGGAAAACCACAUUCUUGUCAAGCAAGACCUCCUUCACCAAAGGCAGGGUUUCAAUCCUGAGGACUAAGUAUGCCAUCUCCUGGGGUAAUUCCUCGAUCUCCUGGAGCAGAACCACCGUAACUUUGGGCAACACCAUUGUAGCGGUGGGCAAAACCUCUGUCACACGAGGGGAGAACACCAGCUCUCUCGCUACUCUGACCUUCACCCAUGGGACCAAGUCUGUGUCAGUGAUUAAAACCACCCUCAUCAGGGGCAAAGAAACGCACAGCAACAUCUACUGGAAUUUUCACACAUGAUUCCGCCCCACAGUUUAAAACCCAAGGAUAUUUCUAUCUGCUCAGUUUUAGCAGUCUUGGCAUAACCAGCAGGAUCAGAUGACACAGGCAGACUCCUCACUGGCCGCAGCAUUGUGUAACACCAGCCAGUGCUGUUGUUUAUCGUCCUGGACUGUCGGGGGAGACGUCCUGUACUGGAUCUGCACAGACAGCCACAAUAAAGAAUGCUGUGCGCUUUGAUAAAUAUUAAGACAAGAAAUUAGAAAAUAUGGCCCAAUAAAAAUAGAAAAGACUUAAAAAUGCAACUUCAGCAGGGUGUGUCUCUCUCUCACCGGCCCCGUCUGUGAAUUGGCGUCCAAGCAAAGUGUUUCAUGGUCAGAGGAGGUGAAUAGGGAUUAAUGUGCAGUGAGGACAGUGAGGGCAUUGGGCGGGAAGUGAUGAGAGUGUAAAGCAGGUGUUCGUAGGGUGAAAUGAAGAAUAACAGGGUGUCACAGAGAAAUUGCUGGUGGGAGAGAAGGCUGAUCCUAUGCUGAGAUAAAAAAAAAUGGUCAUACCUGCAUAUAUUACUGCUGUAAUUUCACAUACUUGAUGGUAUAAUGAAUAGGAAAUAGGGGAAGAAUGCAAAAAAGGCUGCACAAAAUCUGAACUAUAACACAUUGUCAUUCCAGACAUGAAAAUAGUUGUUUUUAUUGUUUCUUUCAAAUUAAACUGAGAGGUGGAAUGUGGCACCUUUUACUUUUGUUUGGGAUUUGCACAAGACAUUUUGUUUUCCUCUCAGGCCACGCCCCCAGAAGGGCUCAAACCUUAGCCAAUAUGCAGCACAUCGCAAAGGGAUAACACCUUACAUCAAACCUGUCAACUCUCACUCAUCUUAUCUAUUUUUUCUCAGGUUCCUCGUGUCCACGGCAACACUGCUCCUCCUGUCAUGGACCACUUAGCCAGACACAAGCAACAAAACAGUACAUUUUGAAAUAUAUCACAGACCAACAAGUCACCUUUAAACAUAGUGCCUUGUGAUGUUAAACAAUGUUUUGGCUCGGGUAAAUAAACUAUAGAUGGAUGGAAAUUCCCAAUGACUAAAAGAGAAAGAUUCAGCCCUCCCAUGUUAACAUAAACCUGUUGCUAGUGGCAACAGCAGAGACACUGCAGAUCACAAUGACACUGCUGUCACCAUGGACAUGAUAAAUACAUCACAAGUCUUUCUAAAGCCAUUAAGACAAAGCCCCUCUGAUUUGUUCUGAUGUGGUCAGGUAUUAAACAUUAUUAUAGCUAAAAUCUUUAAGGUCAAAGUAUAAAAUGUAAGUAUUGUUCUGGUGAAAGCAUUUGGAUAAACUCAAAAAGGCCUGAAUAUUCUGCUUAAUAGACAUUUUUAAAUCUGUACAACUGACUUUGUUAUUCUAAAUUUUAAAUAUUUGUGUGUUUAAGUCUCUGAAACUGUUCCCUGUGGUGAUGCAAAUGUUUGAUCAGGUUUUUCUUUAUUAUACACAAAUGUCUAUUGCUGUGCAUAUGUGUUUUUAAGAGGACACUUGUCAACACAAGGCACUGAAACAUUGAGCAGAUCUCUGUGCCUGGUGCUGGUGACCCACAUUAUGCCAGAUCAUGUGAAUACACUUUCUUUUUCUGAUAUGCCAGUUUGUUUUUGUUAUGACUUCCAUUAACAGACAGGGGAACAUGUGACAUUUCUGGACCCUAGACCUAAGCAAAAACAGACCCCUUUUUUCUGAAGUUCCACAAAAAGACAUAUAACUAUAUCCAACGACUUGUUGGGAAAUGUUAAUCUCUGUGUGUGCCGAUGGUAUUUUAGAUGUGUAUGAUGUGACACUGAGGGAAAAGAGGUCAUACUUUAUAUACACACAAACAGUUAUAAGGGGGAAAUAAAGGCUUGGCCUGCACUAAUCUAGCACUAACGUCAGCUCAGUUACUGUGGCCAGGCAGCAGUUAGAGCUGUGAAGGUAAAUGUGUCUCAGCAGCAGCACAGAGCCUGGAUCCUGUGCUGCACCAACAAGACGCCCAGUCUGCUUUAAUGCACAGCUACUGCUGAUUCAGGAUCUCUCUCCUAAGAGAUCGUACAAACAACUUUUGACUACUUGAAUCAUCUCUGACCAGAAUGGCAUCAAGAAGAAACACAUUUUGCUUUAAACAGGUCAGGAAGUACAUGAAAGAUGCAGAUGCAGCGACACAGACACGCCUGGAAGAAGAUGCCCUCCAACUGAACCUAAUCAAUGUCAUGUAGUUCAUUAGAAGAUGGAAAGAACAUGUAGUAAGCAUUACUGAUGGAAAGCUGUUUAAGAUUUAUUUAUGUCUUGUCUUGUCUGUUUGUCUUUAAAAAGCCUAAAUUAUUAAACUGGUUAUUAAACUAGGGUCAGGCCAACCCGAAAACAACAAUGUUUUUGUUCUCUUGCUAAACUUUCUCUGUUUUGUAAGUCAAUUGUGAUACUUUUCUUUCUUUGCAGGCAUGCUAUGUGUUUCAUUGUGUGUUUAGCUUUACUGUACCUGUCACUAAAAUGCAGACAGGGCCUUGGAUAGAAAGGUACUGGAAUAAAAACGCUUGAUUGCUUGUCUAUUUAA